UUCAAUAAAAAUAUUAAAAUUAUAUCAUUUUAUAUCAGAUAUUCUCAUACUUAUAAAUGAAAAUAUAUGUAUUGAAAAAAAACUUCUCGAUAGUCGAUAGAUAAAAUUAUAAAUAAUCUACCAAAAGCAUAUACACGAUCGAUUAAUACAAUUUUGUUGCUUCGUGAAAAAUAUAAAAAAUUAUGAAUCGUAAGUAUUAAUUUUUGUUAUUUUUUUUCGAUAAGGAUAUUCGAAGAAAUCUUGAGAUUUUUUUACUGUGAAAACAGUAACUCUGUGUUAAAUGUUUACUAAUAUAUCAAAAGAAAUCAGAUUUUUAUGGUAAAAAUUUUUAUUAAUCACAAAAAUCCAUAGUAUUUUUUGAUAUCAAAAAAAAUUCCGCAGGAUACAAACGAUAAGAAGCUGAUAAGAUUUAAAAUGGACGAUUAAGAACGAUUGCCGCGAAAGUAGAAAAAGGAGUGCGAUGCAAAAAUGGAUGUGAUGGAGAUAUGUCCGAUUGAUAACAAGCAAUGGAAUAUUAAAAAAUUCUUGAUUUCGGAACAUGCAAAUGAAGAGUCAUAAUGCAUUACAAAAUAAAAAUGCAAAAUAUUUUUGAAUAAUUUUCAAUAUCGAAAUUCAUUUCUAAUUAAUUCGAAUUUGAAAUUAAUUCUUAUUGCUAUAUAAUUCAAAAUUUUACGCGUCAAGCAAAAAAUUCCUAGAUAAAAUUGUUAAUUUUAAUAAUCAUAAUAUUUCAGACCUCAUGAAACUAUUUCUUCAAGUUACAAAAUUAUAGAUGGAAAAUCAAGUGAUCUUAUACUGUCUUUCAUCUUUCUUCCUUUGGCUAUUAGCACAUCUACGUAUCUGAGUUAUGAAGAGUUCCUCUUUCGAACAGGAGUAUUUUCCUGUUACACAUGAAAAAUAAUCGAUAAAAAAAUAUGGCUACAUAUACAUCUUAAUCUGAAAUGCUUUCUAGUGAAUGACAAAACGAGCAAUAUAUUUCGAAACAAAGGACAGGAUAUUUUUACAAAUACUAGCGUGCAAUGAGAGACAAGAGAAGGAAACCAAUUUCACAUUGAUCGUCAAGCAAUUUGCAGAAUAAUUUGUGAGAUCGAAUGUAUCCAUUUAAAACUUUAUAUUCAACAAUAUAUUUCGAUAUUAAUAUUUUCCCUGAGAAUGUUACAUUCGAGAACGAUAUUACAUAUACUUUCAAAGCAAUAUCAUCGGUAAUAAAAAGAAACAUCAAAAAUUCAUUGCUAUUCAUAAAUUAUCGAUAAAAAUGCAUAAAUAUUUGAUUAUUACUACUAAAAAAUCACGUUUCUGUUUAUCACAAUAAAUAGAAUUUCGUUUAUGAAUAUUUUAAAUCUUUUUAUUACUAUUCUUUCAUAUAUUAUCUAUUUGAUAACAAUUUUAUUUCUUUAAUUUAUAAUUCUGUAAUGAAAAAUGUCUUUUUAAUCUUUAAGGCUUCGAAAUUUUAGAAAAAUCUCUAGAAAAUUUGAAGAUACAUUUUCGAAGUUUUUAAUGUUAAAAAUUCAACUUUUGAAAUGGCUUCGUGUAAAAAAAUGGCUAUAUAAGUGUCUUUGAAAACUCGAUUUCAUUCGUUGUUUAGAUAUUAUCCACGCAAAAUCACUGACCUAUGCGCCAGCAACACUCUGCAUAUCGUAAUUGCCAAGUAAUUUUAGCUGCUAUUCGUGCUACGAACACGAUUUUGUUACUUACCACGCAUUGAAAAACAGUAUGCUGCAGUAUAACACUAGUCGAUAUUUCAAUCGUCGUGUAUGAUUACCUCCAUCUUUUCACGUAUCUAUUUCAUCGCAUAAAGACAUAUUUUUGGUACGGAAACACGAUAUACGAAGCUCAAUUGCAAUUAUUUAUCGUCAGGCUUCAUUUAAACUCUACUUCUUUGAUGAAAUUUUUAUUCGAUUCUAUCCUGUAGAAUACUCUAAAUUCAAUUAUAAAACUAAUAUUAAUUUUUUAAAAAAAAUUUCGAAAUUGUGUAUCUAUUUCUUUCAAACUUCAAAAACAUAAAUAACGUUUAUUUAUGCCAUGAAUAUACGAUUUUUCGUAUAUAUUUCGUAAUAUAUUUUAAAAUGUAUAUCAUUUUUAUUUUUCAUUGUUCAUUUUUUAAGUUCUUGUUUUACAGCUUUCAUCAAUAAUAAUCAGAAGCCAAGAAUCAAUUGUUGCGAGCAUUGAACCGAAUGAAGAUCGCAAUCGAUUUGCAAUUUUUACAAUUCAAGAAUAUCGUUUUAGUAGAUAUGUAACACCUGGUCUGCUCUCACCUCUUCUUCAACUUAUGUCGCAUAGAUAUAUAUGUAUAACGUUUUGUAUCCUUUUCUUCUAUAUUCGGCACAGUAACCUCAAUUUGAUCUUAGAUCCUAAUUCGAUGCCUUUAUUCUACAACUCUUUAUAAACAAGAGUGUUCAAAAUUAUCAAUAAAUUGAUAUUUAUUUUUUUAAA